UACAUCACUUAUGUUCUGCUUGCUCUUUCUUCUUUCUCCCCUCUACUUGCUCCUUCUGAGGUGCCAACAUGUUUCAGAAAAUGAAUCUCAUAGUGAAUGGACUGCAGCAUGUUGUUCUCUCCCAGUCUUACUGACAAACUAAAUUCAGCAUCUAUAUCAAUUACUUUGCACAGAUUUCUCUCUCAAAGUGUGUCACCCUUCAAGGGAGGACUAAUGAUGCUAUUGCUUCUGCUGGCACUGUCAGACUUUGCACUAAUUUUUGGGGAACACACAGGAAGGAGGUUCAUGGCCCUUUAUCCCUUUCUCUUAUCCUGAAGAAGAUCUGCACUUCUCAAACCACAGUAACUGUUACUUUUAGGCAGGAAAAUAGAAGCAUCUGAACCACACAACAUGAAAUAUUUCUUAGAAUUUUUCUCCAUGGAAAGGAAGAGGCUGUAUAAAGAAGAACUGACAAAUCACUUAUUUCAAAACUGGAAGGAAACUUUUAAAGCGCUCAGAAAAGUUGCACAUGGAGCUAUUUUAAAACUAACAACAGAGUGAUGACAUCUUGGAAUGAAUUCCUAUGGAAUUUGAAAGCAGAGGGUAAAUUAGUUUCAGAUGGACGACAGAUAAUUUUUUUUUUUAAAUGCCUAAGUGAGUUAGAAACCUAAAUCUUCAUUUCAGACAUGACUAAAGGCACUUAGAGACAGAUUUCUUGAAAAUAUGACUUGGCUUCCUGAGUAAUGGGCACACCUGGAAAGCUGUCUAAAUGAAAGGCAGUUUUCUUUGUAAAGUACAAAACUUUUUAGACACCCUUAUUAGGGGAGGAUUGCAAGGAGUAUUACUGGGUAUUGUCAAGAUGAAAUUUGAAGAAAAAAGGUUUCUUAGAAGUCUCAAGAUUUGGCCUAAAGGAUCUCAGGUUAUUUACUGAUGUUUCUUGCUUCCCUAGAUGAGCAGUUCUAGAUACAGCAGAUAGGAAUACGAAGGGGAUUAGUGAAAGCAAAUUAUGUAUAGAUUUUUAUCAGUAAGCAAUAAGGAGAAAAAUCAGUUUUCCCAGAAAUCCAAGCAAAAGGUACAUGUAUGUAGUAAUUUAUCCUAUAAUGUUCUUCAGAGAAGGAUAUGCACUGAGAAAUGUAUUGCUGUCUUUGAGAUGUCUCUGUGCUGCAAGACGACCACAAACAUUUCAUGUAGGAUGUGCAUGUCCUGUCUGUUCUCUAAUCAGUCCUUGUGCAUUAUGUGCUUUGAAACCCACUGUGAAGUAAGUUGACUUAUUUUGUUAAUUUAGCAGUUAAAAUGUGAAUUAUUCUUAAUGCUCAGAAGGGAUUGCUGAAUUUUCUCUUCUUACAGCCUAAGACUGUUUGCACACAAAUGGCAAACUAUAUUAUCUCCGCUUAUUAUGCUAAUACCUUAGGUCCCAAGUCUAUACGUCUUAUGACAAUUUUAAUACAAACUAUUGGAUAAGGAUUGCUCUUAUUCUGACACUGAAAACAUAAUCUGAGUGAUCGUAGAAUUAAGUAUCAGAAGUGUAUGUAUCAUUUGACCUAAGUGAGGGAUGUUAUAACAUCAGGUUUUCUUUAUGAACACUUAUUCUCUAUAUACAGCUAUACUUUUUAUGAUACUAUUUACAAUUAGCUCACUAUGGUGGAACCUAUAUUGAAACAAAUCUUUG